rnacentral:rRNA from 1 species
UACGGGAGGCAGCAGUGGGGAAUAUUGGGCAAUGGGCGAAAGCCUGACCCAGCAACGCCGCGUGAAGGAAGAAGGUCUUCGGANGNAAAACUUCUUUUAUGAGGGACGAAGGACGUGACGGUACCUCAUGAAUAAGCCACGGCUAACUACGUGCCAGCAGCCGCGGUAAU